UAUCUACUUUAUCCACUAAAUCCCUUAGCCUAUUAAUCUUAGCUGUUUAAAUUCAUGGCCUGAUCAUUCCAAUAUUCCUGUCACAUCUGGUUCUGAUGCUCGCUCUGUCUCUGCAAACUGCAUUCCUGCCUUUUGUUAUACGCCUUGUACAUUUUUUCUUGAUAGCCAUGCAUGAUGUACCAAGUAAAAGGAACUGCUAUAAAUAGGCCUUUAGUAAUGUGGGGUGAGAUUAGGGGGAGAGGAAACUUCCCACAGCCCUAUGACUAGGUCUCAGCCUUUUAGUGAGCCUGUGCCUCUGGACUGAGAACUGCGCAAGUAUUUCUCAGGUUUUCUCUCCCGCCUUAGGUGGGACCAAAUGGCGAGAGUGGGUUGCAGUUGAGUAUCUCCUUUCUCCCACACAGAAGGCUCGAGAUGGCUAGAGCUGGCUACUUCCCUUCCCCCAAGUCACUUAGGCUCUGGUAAUACUCCAACAGGUUAGGCUCUAAUUAACUAGUCUCCCUUGAGGGCAGGCCUUGUUAAGAAAAACAAAGUAUUUAGGUAUAUUUCACAGUGGCUCCUUUCCUUCUUCUGCUGCCAGAUGUAGCACUUACUGUGGGACUCUGGUCGAACUCCUGCAGGUAAAUGUCACAACACUCCUGGGGGGUCCUCCUGGAGUUUUUACCUCUUGGACUUGUCUCCACUGAGCCUCCAGCAAUUUGUCAAUUAUACCUCAGGUUUUUCCACUCUGGUGCUGGUUUCUCUGACAGUUUCCACAUGAGACUCUCCUCUAGGCCCCAUUUCUCCAGUCUUGCGGCAGCGGAUUGCCCCAUGUCCUCGCCGCUGUCACAGCGCCAGCAAGAGUCGAAUUUUCAGUCCAUUCACUUUUCCCCUUGUUAUUAGGUCAGAGUGGCAACCACCAAGCCCCUUAACAUGCAGAACAGGAAACCUCAAGCUACAGAACUCUUAAAAACCAACUAGACUGGUCUCGGACAGGAAGCCUUCAGCUUAAGCGUUUGACCCCAGUGCUGGCACUCUGACCAAGCCAAGGCCACGUGUCGCUCUAAACCGCUCAAAAGAGAACAGUGUGCAUCCUUCUACGUAUGCCCUGGGAUUACCUACAUCUUAAAACUUUCUAGCUAGAAAGUUUCACGUAGACUUCUUUUAGAACAUGACACGUGAUAAUGGUUUUUUUAUUUCUUUCUCAUGUCACACGCUGAGAGCAUAAAGUCUACAUUCAUCUUACGUCCAGUUUACAAUGAACAUACUGCUUUUGCUAAAUGAACAAUACAAACUCUGGACUCCUCUCCUUCCCCCUUCCAUGAAGGAAUUCCAGUGCAUCAUCUUGAUUAAGUCAUAAACAGGAUAGAAAAGUAAGGAAAAACAAUGCUUUAGACAUCUAUUUUUCAAACUUGGAAAUGCCCUUUGAGUUCCACAGGUAAAGACACACAAACUCUUUCUCACUGAGCCUCUCUGAAGCCUCCACUUCUACAUCUGUAAAAGACGAUGAUAAUAAUAACCAGUAUAAACUACGAGGAGCAAAAGAGGUUAUGAAUCUACAGCUCCCAUUACGGUACAGAGGUAGCGUAGACACUCAAUAAAUUAUGACGUUCAUCUCAGCAGCAGCAGCAGCAGCAGCAACAUCACUAAACCACCGCCCAAAUCUCAGCGCACAGCAGGCAUCUACUUUGAGGAGCUCCUUUGCUGUGACCUUGUUUACGGAAUGAAGGGCCCUUCUCUGCCUUGGUCAGUGGCUCUUCACAGAAACGGAGCCCUCCCUCCAGUCCUUUGCACAAACUUCCAUCGCUGGAUGGAUCCAGAGGAAUCUCUCCGUUAUGGAUCCUGUCAACGUCUCUAACGACAGAAUGCUGCGCUGCACUGAUACAAACACCCCUUACUCCGGCCCGUCUCCUUGAUUUUAAAAAUACGUCGGAACAGACAAAUGUAAAUGAAAUCUGGAAACACAAAGCAAUUACUGAUAACUGUAAGCUACACACUUAAAAGGCACUUAAACAUUUCAUAUAAAACAAUAAAUGAAAGAUACAGUA